GGGCCGUUAGCUCAGCAGGUAGAGCACCUGCCUUUUAAGCAGGGGGUCACAGGUCCGAAUCCUGUACGGCUCA
rnacentral:tRNA from 1 species